rnacentral:rRNA from 1 species
AAUGAACGCUGGCGGCAGGCCUAACACAUGCAAGUCGAGCGAGUGGCGGACGGGUGAGUAAUGUCUGGGAACCUGCCUGAAGGAGGGGGAUAACUACUGGAAACGGUAGCUAAUCCCGCAUACCAUCAGAUGUGCCCAGAUGGGAUUAGCUAGUUGGUGGGGUAACGGCUUACCAAGGCGACGAUCCCUAGCUGCUCUGAGAGGGUGACCAGCCACACUGGAACUGAGACACGGUCCAGACUCCUACGGGAGGCAGCAGUAGGGAAUAUUGCACAAUGGGCGCAAGCCUGAUGCGGCAAUGCCGCGUGUAUGAAGAAGGCCUUCGGGUUGUAAAGUACUGUCAGUGGGGAGGCGUUACCUGCAGAGGAAGCCCCGGCUAACUCCGUGCCAGCAGCCGCGGUAAUUC